AGAGUUUGAUCCUGGCUUAGAACGAACGCUGGCGGCACGCUUAACACAUGCAAGUCGGACGGGGUAUGGGAGCUUGCUCUUAUACUUAGUGGCGGACGGGUGAGUAACACGUGGGAACAUGUCCUGUAGUGGUGGAUAGCUCCGGGAAACUGGAGGUAAUACAGCAUAAGCUCGAGAGAGGAAAGAGAGAUCGCUAUAGGGGUGGCCCGCGGCUGAUUAGGUAGUUGGUGGGGUAAAGGCCUACCAAGCCGAGGAUCAGUAGCUGGUCUGAGAGGAUGGACAGCCACACUGAAACUGAGACACGGUUCAGACUCCUACGGGAGGCAGCAGUGGGGAAUAUUGGACAAUGGGGGCAACCCUGAUCCAGCCGAUGCCGCGUGAGUGAAGAAGGUCUUAGGAUUGUAAAGCUCUUUUGACAGGGAAGAUGAUGACGGUACCUGUAGAAUAAGCACCGGCUAACUCUGUGCCAGCCGCCGC
rnacentral:rRNA from 1 species